rnacentral:rRNA from 1 species
AUGAUCGAGGAGGCCUCUCUGGCGGCCGCGGCUGCCGCGCCGACCGCCACGGCGGGACAGGAGGUCGUCUUCCUCAACGAGUCACGUGCCCGCGUUGACUUGCGUCGCACUCCCGACGACGUGGACGCGGCCUGGUAUCUCGACACGGGCGCGUCGAACCACAUGACCGGGGACGAAGCGGCGUUCGCCGAGCUGGACAAGGGGAUCCGCGGCUCGGUCAGGUUCGGCGACGGCUCUCUCGUGCCUAUCCAAGGGCGGGGCACCGUCCUGUUCGCCACGGCCGGGGAGGAACACCGUGCACUCACCAACGUGUACUGGAUCCCGCGGCUCAGAAGCAACAUCGUCUCUAUCGGGCAGCUCGACGAGAACGGCUGCCCCACGCACGUCGAGGCCGGCGUCAUGACGGUGCGCGAUCGCCAGCACCGUGUUCUGGCCAGAGUGCCGCGCUCCCGCAACCGGCUCUACAUCGCGCGACUGCGGCUCGCCAACCCCGUCUGCCUCGCCGCGCACGCCGGCGAGGAGGCGUGGCGCUGGCAUGCGCGGUUCGGCCAUCAACACUUCGACGGCCUCGAGAGGUUGACUCGUCAGAACAUGGUCCGGGGCAUGCCCCUGAUUCAUCACACCAAGCAGGUCUGCGACGCCUGCCUGGUGGGCAAGCAGCGGAGGGCGUCCUUCCCACAGCAGGCCAACUACCGCGCCGCCGAGCCCCUUGAGCUCGUGCACGGUGACCUCUGCGGCCCUAUCUCGCCGCCUACGCCGGGUGGCAAGCGCUACUUCCUCCUGCUUGUUGAUGAUCACAGCAGGUUCAUGUGGCUGUACCUGCUCCGCAGCAAGGACGAGGCAGCCGAGGCGAUCCAGCGCUUCCAAGCGCACGCAGAGCGCGAGACGGGGCGUAAACUUCGCACCUUUCGCUCUGACCGGGGCGGGGAGUUCAACUCAGGCGAGUUCAGUGCGUACCUGGCUGACCUUGGUGUCCAGAGGCACCUCACCGCGCCGUACACGCCGCAGCAGAACGGCGUGGUGGAGAGGCGCAAUCAAACCGUCGUCGGGACGGCCCGGUGCAUGCUCAAAGGGAUGGGAGUUCCACCGCAGUUCUGGGGCGAGGCCGUGACCACGGCCGUCUUCGUGCUCAACCGCGCGUACUCCAGGAGCGUCACGGGCAGGACGCCGUUCGAGGCCUGGCAUGGCAGAAAGCCCUCCAUCGACUUCCUGCGCGUGUUCGGCUGCGUGGCGCACGCCAAGGACACGCGGCCACACCUCUCCAAGCUCGAGGACAGGAGCAAGGCCAUGGUGCUGUUCGGGUACGAGCCAGGGAGCAAGGCGUACUGGCUCUUCGACCCCGUGGGCAAGCGCGUCCAUGUCUCUCGCGAUGUCGUGUUUGAUGAGACACGGGCAUGGGACUGGGAGAAGAAGGACGCGGGACAGGAAGGUAUGAGCUUUGUGAUAGAGCCCAUGUCAACUCUCACUGGUGUACCCUCGUCUGUAGCACACUCCUCAACACCGCCAGCCGUCUCACAGUCACCCACUGCUGCGACGUCCGCGGCCAAGGCGGCCACCGUGUCAGCAGAUUCAGAGGACGACGGCGGCAGCGCCCCGGCAGCGGAGUCUGGCACCGUGGCGGGGAGUGCCGCGGGUGCGACAGCAGAACAGGCGGCUCCUACGCGCAUGGCCGGCAACCUCGCGCCGGUGCACCCGAUGACGACGCGAGGCAGGGAUGGCAUCUUCCUCCCCAACCCUCGCUACAUGAGCACGCCAGAAAGAGCGGCUCGGAACGCGCCGCCACCAGGGCUGGACGAGCCCGACGACGCCGAUGGCGAAGUCGACGACGACGAGCUUGUUGAUGAGCUGCACCUCGCGCUUGGAGAGGAGCCUGGUUCUUUCCAAGAAGCUAAAGAAAAGGCGUGCUGGCGGCGAGCGAUGAUGGAAGAGAUGAUCUCCAUCGAAGCCAACCACACUUGGGAGCUAGUGGACCUACCUGCUGGCCAUCGUCCGAUCUGUCUCAAGUGGGUUUACAAGGUCAAGAAAGACGCCAAUGGCGCUGUGGUGAAGUACAAGGCGAGGUUGGUGGCGAAGGGAUAUGUGCAGAAGCACGGCGUGGACUAUGACGAGGUCUUUGCGCCGGUGGCAAGGCUCGAAUCCGUUCGCCUCCUACUUGCUCUGGCUGCUCGCGCAGGCUGGACCGUGCACCACAUGGACGUGAAGUCCGCCUUCCUCAACGGCGAGCUAGAAGAGGAGGUUUACGUGGCCCAACCACCGGGUUUCACGGCUGCUGGACAAGACUCCAAGGUACUCAAGCUCAAGAAGGCCUUGUACGGGCUGAAACAGGCCCCUCGCGCGUGGAAUGCAAAGCUGGACGCGAGCCUGGCCUCGCUUGGGUUCAGCAGGUGCCCAUCCGAGCAUGCCGUGUACGCCAAGGGCGCGGCAACAUCUCAUCUGGUCGUCGGGGUUUACGUCGAUGAUCUGAUCAUCACGGGAUCCGACGAGGAGGAGAUCGCGGGCUUCAAGAAGGAGAUGCAGGCGCUCUUCGACAUGAGCGACCUGGGUCGGCUACACUACUACCUCGGGAUCGAGGUGAGGCAGCACGGCGGCGGCAUCGACCUCGGCCAAGCUGCGUACGCUGCCAAGAUCCUCGACAAGGUGGGUAUGACAGGUUGCAACCCCUGUCACAUGCCCAUGGAGCCCCGCUUCAAGCUGAGCAGAGUGAGCUCGGCGAGAGCAGUGGACGCCACCGAGUACAGGAGCGUCGUGGGCAUGCUCCGCUACCUCGUCCACACCAGACCAGACCUGGCUUUCUCCGUCGGGUACGUCUCAAGGUUCAUGCAGGAGCCCACGAUCGAGCACAUGACGGCGGUGAAGCACAUUCUGCGCUAUGUGGCGGGAACCAUGCACUGGGGAGUGCGGUACACCCGCGGUGACCAUGCCGCUCCUCUGAUCGGCUACAGCGACAGCGAUCUAGGAGGCGACGUGGACAACCGCAGGAGCACCACUGGCGUCGCAUUCUUCCUCGGCAGCAACCUGGUGAGCUGGCAGUCACAAAAGCAGAGGGUGGUGGCUCUCUCUUCGUGUGAGUCUGAGUACAUGGCUGCCACUACGGCUGCCUGCCAAGGCAUCUGGUUAGCACGGCUGCUGGGAGAGAUCAAGGAUGAAGAUCAGAAGGCAGCGGUGCUCAACGUCGACAACAAAUCAGCCAUAUCUUUGAGUAAGAAUCCUGUUUUCCACGAUCGGAGCAAGCACAUAGAGAUCAGAUACCACUUCAUUCGGGAGUGCGUGGAGAAUGGGAAGAUCCAGAUCGAGUUCGUCCGAUCCGAGGAGCAGCUUGCUGAUGUGCUCACCAAGGCGCUAGGGCGAGUCAAGCUCCAGGAGCAGCGUGCGAAGAUCGGGAUGGUGGAGCUCAACGAGGCACACAAGGCUUAG